rnacentral:pre_miRNA from 1 species
UGCCGGGUAAUGCCCGGUCGCUUACGCCGACCGCGUAACUUGUGGUAUAUUGUUAGGCGUGUCGUCGUAAGCAGCCGGGCGACCCGGCG